GGGUUGUGAGGUUAAGCGACUAAGCGUACACGGUGGAUGCCCUGGCAGUCAGAGGCGAUGAAGGACGUGCUAAUCUGCGAUAAGCGUCGGUAAGGUGAUAUGAACCGUUAUAACCGGCGAUUUCCGAAUGGGGAAACCCAGUGUGUUUCGACACACUAUCAUUAACUGAAUCCAUAGGUUAAUGAGGCGAACCGGGGGAACUGAAACAUCUAAGUACCCCGAGGAAAAGAAAUCAACCGAGAUUCCCCCAGUAGCGGCGAGCGAACGGGGAGCAGCCCAGAGCCUGAAUCAGUGUGUGUGUUAGUGGAAGCGUCUGGAAAGGCGCGCGAUACAGGGUGACAGCCCCGUACACAAAAAUGCACAUGCUGUGAGCUCGAUGAGUAGGGCGGGACACGUGGUAUCCUGUCUGAAUAUGGGGGGACCAUCCUCCAAGGCUAAAUACUCCUGACUGACCGAUAGUGAACCAGUACCGUGAGGGAAAGGCGAAAAGAACCCCGGCGAGGGGAGUGAAAAAGAACCUGAAACCGUGUACGUACAAGCAGUGGGAGCACGCUUAGGCGUGUGACUGCGUACCUUUUGUAUAAUGGGUCAGCGACUUAUAUUCUGUAGCAAGGUUAACCGAAUAGGGGAGCCGAAGGGAAACCGAGUCUUAACUGGGCGUUAAGUUGCAGGGUAUAGACCCGAAACCCGGUGAUCUAGCCAUGGGCAGGUUGAAGGUUGGGUAACACUAACUGGAGGACCGAACCGACUAAUGUUGAAAAAUUAGCGGAUGACUUGUGGCUGGGGGUGAAAGGCCAAUCAAACCGGGAGAUAGCUGGUUCUCCCCGAAAGCUAUUUAGGUAGCGCCUCGUGAAUUCAUCUCCGGGGGUAGAGCACUGUUUCGGCAAGGGGGUCAUCCCGACUUACCAACCCGAUGCAAACUGCGAAUACCGGAGAAUGUUAUCACGGGAGACACACGGCGGGUGCUAACGUCCGUCGUGAAGAGGGAAACAACCCAGACCGCCAGCUAAGGUCCCAAAGUCAUGGUUAAGUGGGAAACGAUGUGGGAAGGCCCAGACAGCCAGGAUGUUGGCUUAGAAGCAGCCAUCAUUUAAAGAAAGCGUAAUAGCUCACUGGUCGAGUCGGCCUGCGCGGAAGAUGUAACGGGGCUAAACCAUGCACCGAAGCUGCGGCAGCGACGCUGAUGCGUUGUUGGGUAGGGGAGCGUUCUGUAAGCCUGUGAAGGUGUGCUGUGAGGCAUGCUGGAGGUAUCAGAAGUGCGAAUGCUGACAUAAGUAACGAUAAAGCGGGUGAAAAGCCCGCUCGCCGGAAGACCAAGGGUUCCUGUCCAACGUUAAUCGGGGCAGGGUGAGUCGACCCCUAAGGCGAGGCCGAAAGGCGUAGUCGAUGGGAAACAGGUUAAUAUUCCUGUACUUGGUGUUACUGCGAAGGGGGGACGGAGAAGGCUAUGUUGGCCGGGCGACGGUUGUCCCGGUUUAAGCGUGUAGGCUGGUUUUCCAGGCAAAUCCGGAAAAUCAAGGCUGAGGCGUGAUGACGAGGCACUACGGUGCUGAAGCAACAAAUGCCCUGCUUCCAGGAAAAGCCUCUAAGCAUCAGGUAACAUCAAAUCGUACCCCAAACCGACACAGGUGGUCAGGUAGAGAAUACCAAGGCGCUUGAGAGAACUCGGGUGAAGGAACUAGGCAAAAUGGUGCCGUAACUUCGGGAGAAGGCACGCUGAUAUGUAGGUGAAGCGACUUGCUCGUGGAGCUGAAAUCAGUCGAAGAUACCAGCUGGCUGCAACUGUUUAUUAAAAACACAGCACUGUGCAAACACGAAAGUGGACGUAUACGGUGUGACGCCUGCCCGGUGCCGGAAGGUUAAUUGAUGGGGUUAGCGGUAACGCGAAGCUCUUGAUCGAAGCCCCGGUAAACGGCGGCCGUAACUAUAACGGUCCUAAGGUAGCGAAAUUCCUUGUCGGGUAAGUUCCGACCUGCACGAAUGGCGUAAUGAUGGCCAGGCUGUCUCCACCCGAGACUCAGUGAAAUUGAACUCGCUGUGAAGAUGCAGUGUACCCGCGGCAAGACGGAAAGACCCCGUGAACCUUUACUAUAGCUUGACACUGAACAUUGAGCCUUGAUGUGUAGGAUAGGUGGGAGGCUUUGAAGUGUGGACGCCAGUCUGCAUGGAGCCGACCUUGAAAUACCACCCUUUAAUGUUUGAUGUUCUAACGUUGACCCGUAAUCCGGGUUGCGGACAGUGUCUGGUGGGUAGUUUGACUGGGGCGGUCUCCUCCUAAAGAGUAACGGAGGAGCACGAAGGUUGGCUAAUCCUGGUCGGACAUCAGGAGGUUAGUGCAAUGGCAUAAGCCAGCUUGACUGCGAGCGUGACGGCGCGAGCAGGUGCGAAAGCAGGUCAUAGUGAUCCGGUGGUUCUGAAUGGAAGGGCCAUCGCUCAACGGAUAAAAGGUACUCCGGGGAUAACAGGCUGAUACCGCCCAAGAGUUCAUAUCGACGGCGGUGUUUGGCACCUCGAUGUCGGCUCAUCACAUCCUGGGGCUGAAGUAGGUCCCAAGGGUAUGGCUGUUCGCCAUUUAAAGUGGUACGCGAGCUGGGUUUAGAACGUCGUGAGACAGUUCGGUCCCUAUCUGCCGUGGGCGCUGGAGAACUGAGGGGGGCUGCUCCUAGUACGAGAGGACCGGAGUGGACGCAUCACUGGUGUUCGGGUUGUCAUGCCAAUGGCACUGCCCGGUAGCUAAAUGCGGAAGAGAUAAGUGCUGAAAGCAUCUAAGCACGAAACUUGCCCCGAGAUGAGUUCUCCCUGAC
rnacentral:rRNA from 1 species